rnacentral:lncRNA from 1 species
AUGACUCUAAGGAUUAGAAGCUGUUAUCCCAACAAACCCUGGAGCUCUAUAUAUUCUGAUUUUAUGCUUUCGCCUCUGUGCGCUUGUUGGUUUGACAUCCCGACCGCAUGUGGACUUCAACCGGUGGGAAGAAAUAGAAGAUUGUGCCACGUCAGACCAAUGCACCGUGACCACAAACUCCUCACCCACCAGGUGCUGGGUUCCUGCUGCCUUCCCUGGGCUCCUCGUGUCCCCAAGCACCCCGGGGGUGCUGACACCCUGGGGAUGUGCCAGCUCCCUGCCCGCCCCAGCACAGCCACAGCAAGCGGCUGCUUUGCACGGCCCCAGCUGAAGGAAAGCAUCGCCCUCGCCAUUGCCCUGUUCUAUUAGUGGAUUUUACGCUGCUUUUUAAAUUAUGCUGUUUUCAAACACGACUACAUUUGAAUGUCAGCCUCUAGUACCCAAAUAUAAAUGUCAAGACCUCUGUACAUCUCUGGCAUGUAGGAACUAAUUUAAUCAUCUCGGUGAAGCGAUUUCAGUUCAGACAAUCACUUUGCUCGAGUGGAAGGGUUAUGAAGAGAGUGCACAGUCGCGGGCGAAUGCUUACACACCAUUUAGGGCCGUGCUGCUUUACAAAGAGACAGCCAAGAAGGGCAUUUGUUCACCAGUGGACCUUCCCUGUGCCUGCCCUGCUGAUUGAAAUCAGGGUAAUCAUGUCUCGGGCUCAGAAAAAUGACGGGUGGCACCAGCGCAUACUGAAUUUUGUUUAUUGGGAAAAAGGUUGAGAAAAAGUGACAGGGAAUGAUUUUUUUUUUUUUUUCCCCUGUGAUAGGUGGAAAAAGGGUAAUCUUAUGAAAUAGAGGACAGUGGUCAGUGUGUGCUGCUCAGAUCCCUGAGUGCUGAUCGCCCUGACUGGGCACACAGCUAAUGUGACUGCAGCAGCAAAACCAUUUUGCAUAGGAACCAUGGGCUACUUCUGAAAUCUUGGAUGGCGUCAUUCCUCCCUUUACACAGGGCUUUAAAAAAAAAAAGUGAAGACAGUUCAGGUGAUACAGUUUUCAUGGAAUAACUCUGCUAAGCAGGGCUAGCAGAAGGAGCUUAUUCUCUCCCGGUGCCAGUUACCCAGAGUAGCCACGCUACUCAGCUUGUGCCCUCAGCUGCAUUAGGAAGCAAAGUUCCUCCUAAAUUUCUGGGGGACUCUGGCUGGCACCAAGCUACCACUGUGCAAAAGCUCUGAUUUGGGUCAUCGCUGGAAAAGCAAUGAUUUUAUGGAAAAGACCAAGCAACACCCAAGCUCCUUUCUGUGGUUGCUGGAAGGUCAGAGAUGAACUUGCGUGAUAAGACAGAGAUGAGAAAAUGAAAAGGAAGCAGUAGAGCAGGAGCUGGAGGGUGAGCAUGGGGAAUGGUUGAGCCCAGGUGGCUGUGGGGACAUCUGGGGACACAGGGGAUGUGCUGAGGGAGGCCAUCACCCUGGCAUGGGGGCUCCCUGCUGAGGAAGCAGAAAGCAACCCUCCUGCAGCAAGCAUCCCCAGCUGCUUGGUGGCUGUGCACUCCUGAGUCCGGCAGGGGCAGUUGUGCAGCCCGAGGCCACAGAUUUAAUAAAUGAACCACAGGCAUUGAUCCGACCUGUCUGCGUGGGAGCCAUGCCAGGCAAAGUGUCCUUUCCCCAGGCACGCCGUCACCUCGCAGGCUGCGGGUUGGGAGCUGACCCAGCUCAAGUCACGGAGAAGAAGUUUGGAUCUGGCACUGAUCACACUCUUCCAUCCUGAACUUAAAACUUUUGGCCCUAAUUCUGUUCUCAGCUACCAGCAUUGGGAAGUUAGAACAAAAAAUUUUGCUACCGUUUCAAGCAGCCCCAAAUCAAACAAAGCAAAAGAGUGACAAGAAGUGCAAUCCAUUUUGGAGAGCUUUGGCAAAAGAGGCUUAAUUUGUUGGAUUACUU